rnacentral:rRNA from 1 species
UACGUAGGGGCUAGCGUUGUCCGGAUUUAUUGGGCGUAAAGAGCGUGUAGGCGGCCAGGUAGGUCUGCUGUGAAAACUCGAGGCUCAACCUCGAGACGUCGGCGGAAACCAUCUGGCUAGAGUCCGGAAGAGGAGAGUGGAAUUCCUGGUGUAGCGGUGAAAUGACGCAGAUAUCAGGAAGAACACCCGUGGCGAAGGCGGCUCUCUGGGACGGUACUGACGCUAGACGCGAAAGCGUGGGGAGCGAACAGG